GAUGACCUCUCCAAAGCUCAUGCAUUUUGGAGCACAUGCUUGCCAGUGUGUAUUGGACCUCCAUGCUGCCUGGUUGUCACCCAGCUGACUGUAAGCUGAACUAUGUAAAGACACAUAUUUUUCUGAACCUCAUCAGCUCAUCAGCAACUUUACUCUUCAAGUGAACGCAAUAAUAUUCAUCAAAUCCUCAGCAGCAGCCACUUAUUAUGAACUGUAAUUUCUCAAAUAUUAAUACAUUAAACCCUGUUGAUGCGA